CACACGCGCUGUCCCUAGUCACGGCAAGACACUGGAAAUAAAACUGGACUAAUGAUUGCGCCCACAUUUUAGAAUUUAAUGACGUCGGGCUUGACGAAUGCAGCAAUCUGACAAGUUAAUAAGCAAGAGUGACAUCUUGCAGAAACGGCUUUCGGAUAAGGUGCAGUUAAAAUGAUUCCUGCUUAACGCCCGUCCUGGAUCUGAACACAACAGCCCAUGAGACCUUCUGUAAACAAUCGCAUGGACCUUAUUGCUUGCAUAUGGACCCAUGGGGACAUACUGGACGACUGUACAUUAAAUAAAGAUGAAAACACCUCACUUAACACCUAACUUACCACUUCACAAUGGAGAAAACGGCAAGAGAAUGUGUUAGUUAUCAGCGCUAGUUGCGGACUGCGCCGUAAUAAGUACUUACUUGUCACCCUCUGAUGACAUACAGACCUUCCAAAGCAAGCAUGACGAUAUUGAAGGCGCUCCAAGGAAAAAGAGUUCUAGACAUGGCGGCGAGACUGGGGAUGGUAGUUGCAAACACAGGCUCAACCGCUACAUUAAGGUGCAUAGGAAACGCGGUUAAACAAAACAGCCCUAAUCAAUGAAAAUCCACGCAAGACGUAUACUGGAGGACAAAUUAAAUAAAAACUUUAAGAGAGAAAUGCCUCAAAACAAACGUAGAGGAAUCUUUUCCAACCAGGAGCAAGAGUACAAAAGAUCUAAGAGGGAAUGCUAUCAGGAAGUCUAAAAUUAGUAAGUGGAAUUCCCUCUGCAGCGACGAUUCUGAAUUAUGGGGACUGGGAUCUAAAAUUGUAACGAAGAAACUUAGGUCUUGGAAUGCCCUGCCGGAACUUCAAGAAUAACAAAUGGAUAAAAUAGUACAUCAUUGACAGUGCCACAAAAGGUUUUAAAAUUAGGAGAACCCUGGGGCUUGAUAACAUACCAAUCACAAACCGCGCACCCUUGGUUUGUUAGACAUGUUGCAGUGGAAACGAUAACAUUUGGUUCUGAUAAGCAAAGGAAAAGGAGAUCCCUCAGCCUCAUCAGUAUAUCGACCUUUGUGUAUGUAAAAUAACAGGAAAGUUUCGGAGCUAUUCAAAAGGAGGUUUAUGAGACACUACCGAGCCAACAAGGGUCACCCACAGGUGAGUGACGGGCUUGACACACGCGCUGUCCCUAGUCACGGCAAGACACUGGAAAUAAAACUGGACUAACGAUUGCGCCCACAUUUUAGAAUUUAAUGACGUCGGGCUUGACGAAUGCAGCAAUCUGACACCUUAAUAAGCAAGAGUGACAUCUUGCAGAAACGGCUUUCGGAUAAGGUUACUUUCGCAUCCAUCCAGUUGAAACCUGGGAAGUUUUUAAUUACUUUCAAACCACAUUACCGUUUAUUUGGCGGUACAGGUGCAGUUAAAAUGAUUCCUGCUUAACGCCCGUCCUGGAUCUGAACACAACAGCCCAUGAGACCUUCUGUCAACAAUCGCAUGGACCUUACUGCUUGCAUAUGGACCCAUGGGGACAUACUGGACGACUGUACCUUAAAUAAAGAUGAAAACACCUCACUUAACACUUAACUUACCACUUCACAAUGGAGAAAACGGCAAGAGAAGGUGUUAGUUAUCAGCGCUAGUUGCGGACUGCACCGUAAUAAGUACUUACUUGUCACCCUCUGAUGACAUACAGACCUUCCAAAGCAAGCAUGACGAUAUUGAAGGCGCUCCAAGGAAAAAGAGUUCUAGACAUGGCGGCGAGACUGGGGAUGGUAGUUGCAAACACAGGCUCAACCGCUACAUUAAGGUGAAUAGGAAACGCGGUUAAACAAAACAGCCCUAAUCAAUGAAAAUCCACGCAAGACGUAUACUGGAGGACAAACUAAAUAAAAACUUUAAGAGAGAAAUGCUUCAAAACAAACGUAGAGGAAUCUUUUCCAACCAGGAGCAAGAGUACAAUAGAGCUAAGAGGGAAUGCUAUCAGGAAGUCUAAAAUUAGUAAGUGGAAUUCCCUCUGCAGCGACGAUUCUGAAUUAUGGGGACUGGGAUCUAAAAUUGUAACGAAGAAACUUAGGUCUUGGAAUGCCCUGCCGGAACUUCAAGAAUAACAAAUGGAUAAAAUAGUACAUCAUUGACAGUGCCACAAAAGGUUUUAAAAUAAGGAGAACCCUGAGGCUUGAUAACAUACCAAUCACAAACCGCGCACCCUUGGUUUUUUAGACAUGUUGCAGUGGAAACGAUAACAUUUGGUUCUGAUAAGCAAAGGAAAAGGAGAUCCCUCAGCCUCAUCAGUAUAUCGACCUUUGUGUAUGUAAAAUAACAGGAAAGUUUCGGAGCUAUUCAAAAGGUGGUUUAUGAGACACUACCGAGCCAACAAGGUAAUCACUUCUCGAGACCUAUAGAACUCUUAGCUACUUCGGUUGUUUAUUUAUUUCUUUAUUUAUUUAUUCGCCAAUGGAUUAAUCCUUAUCCAACUUAUAAGCUAACUUAACUCUAAAACUAAUUAUGAAUGAAAAAAUAUUCCCUAUGCCUAAGCACAUCUUUCUUGGAUCCCCAACCCAAUCGAAUGCUCGCUGGUAAGGAGUUAAACAGUGUCAAAGCUCUUAAAAUUGGCUCAGUACAGUGUUUCUUUUGACAAAUCCGAACAUCGCGUAUGCCUUCGGUAGAAUAUAAUUUAUAUGAUUAAUCAACAAAAAUGUACUGUCAAAGAGGACCCCAAGAUCCACAAUUUCGAUAAGUGCAAAGAGUUAGUGGUUAUUAAUAACAUAUGUUGAAAGAACAUUUAAGAUAAA